UGAGUCGUUUAUUUUGUACCAUGAGUCUAAUUUAGUAGUUUUGAGUCGUUUUUUUAGAGUCGGUACUGCUUUGGUUUUGCUUUUUUUGUUUGUGCAGGUUUGAAUAUGUACCACCCGUACUCAAUCUCCAUUCGGGUGAUUUCGGAGCUGUACACCAAUUUCAAGGAAUUUACCAAGUGUACUAGUUAGAGUCAAAGCCGAUCGCGAAUGGAAUGCUAUACGAUCGAGCUGGAUCGUGUACGAGUUCGGAUUGAAGACGCGCGCAGCAGGCACUGAUUUUUAUCCUAACCAGCUAAGUCCUUUCCAAUUCGUUAUCUUUUGUAUAUUAUUUUAGGUUUUAUUUUUUUAUUUAUUUUUAAUUGUCUUUCAUCCUACAUUGGGGACAAUGUAAAUUUUAAGUGUGGGGAUGGGAGACUACGUCUUUUUAGGUGAUCUUGUUAGUCUGGUCUGGAACUAUUUAGAUCAUUCUAGGUUCGUUAAUCUAUUAGGUUUUCGGUCUAGAGCUUGA
rnacentral:lncRNA from 1 species